UACACGCUUCUGAUGAGUGACUUUGAUGAUAGACACACUUUCCCAAUGUCGCAAAAAAUCGCUUACCAAAACACCAGCUUGAAGUGCGGAUUGUGAGAGCAGUUGAAGAAUAACGAAUUUACAAUGCACAAUCUUGCUGUUGUGAAGGCAGCGCGGCUGAUUCCAUCUUAUUUCAACGGCGGCGCGGUGGUGGUGGUCAGUGCAAUGGACCAAUGGUUCCAUCUUAUUUCAACGACGCAUGGUUUUGAUGGGAAGUUGAAGGGCGGAUUUUCAACAAAUUUGCGAUAAUUCAAGCAUUCUAUUGUUGUUGAAGCUGACGAUAAAUAUCUAAUUAAGGCAACUGUUUUAAGAAAGGUUUAUUGUUGUAUUAACUAUACUGGCACAACUUGGACUCCCCAUAGGAGAUGGUGGUAAUGACCAUAAUCCCUUCACAUGUCAUGGAAUAUAUGAAUGGAUUAUUGAAGUUUCAGUAAUAUUAGGUUUACUGUUGCAUCAAUUCUACUGACACAACUUGGAAUCUCUGUAGGAGAUGGUCAGUAUAAUCUUUAUGGGCAUGAAUUGGUUAUUCAAGUUUCACUAUUAGGUAUUAUUUUAAUAAUUGUUCUUAUAUUUCUUAUUUGGCGUUUUUUUCAAGAAAAUGCAACAGAGCACACCACCUGCUAUCCAACUCCCUAAUCUUCCCCCAGCCCAAGCCACCGAAAUUUCUACCCACCCUUCUAAUACUCUUUUAGAUUACCGGAAGAGAUUUAUACGUAUUCAACUGAACAUUCUAAUGAUUUUAGUCAUAUAGAUUGUAUGAUAUGCAAUUUUCCUUUUGUUGAUUGGGAGAAGUUGUGCAUCCUUUCUGCUUGCCGCCAUGUUUUUCACUCUCACUGUACUAGCUCAUGGUUUUUAAACCAUGAUUGUCGUUGUACACUGUGCCGCCAUGAUUCUUUUGACGGUUUUAGUAAUGACAUAUUGGAAUAGUGUAAAAAAACUAUAUUUAUAUGGUACAUGCAUAAAUGAAUUUAUCAUUUUAAAUGAAAUAUUUUAAUAAAAAUCAUUUUUUGACUCUGAUACGAGCUUGGGGGUAAAAAACUGUCAAUAUUUUGUGAUUUCAAUUCACGAUGGAUACGAAAUUGUUAAGUAUCGUCACAAGCCAUGGAUGCCAGAAAAGACGUGCAACACUUCGUGACUUCGAUCUCAAAGGCUGCAAAACCUACGAUGCUUUGCUUUUCAGGUUUCAGGCAAACAUUGUCUAUCAUUAUUUGCCAAGGAUUUCCUUGGCUUUGUUAUGCUAUUGGUGUAGCUUUUUAUAUCCUUUGUAAAACAUUUAGGAUGCACCUUUCCUUGGGUUGUAGCUCUAUGUUGUAACAUACUUCAGUAUGAAGUAACAAGAUACGUGUGGUGUUUAUGAUAUGGUAGAAGGCGGAAAAACAAGAAUGCAAACGUCAAUUAUCGAGUAUUACUGAUCGUUGUUUUUA